UGGGGCAGCCAAAGAAGGAGAGCCCUGGCUGAGGGACACAGAUUAGAGAUGAGGACAUAACUCUAAAGAGUAACUCUCCCCAGUGCCUUCACACGUAAGAAGUAAGCAGUAACUCAAUCCAGUUUAGAUAAAAAGGCUCUCCAGGAAUAAUGGGAAAUAAAGGAAACAAGCAAGAAAAGCAAGAAAAAUUACUGAUGAAAAAUACAGAAAAGACCAAAAUAUUUAUGCCAAGAAGUUCCUUCAAAGUCUAGAAGGAGCACUACUGCAGUUGUUGAGUCUGCGCUGCCCACACUGAGGCUGACCUCUAUGCCUUCCUUCACUCCCUGCGGAGAGCCCAGCAAGAAAGCUGGAGGAAUGACUACCCAGGAGAUGGUCUGUUCCCAGAAGAACUUCAAGCCACACUGCAAGCCAGAAAGGCUCAGAGAAGGUGCCUUGGGGUCACAAACAUGUCGGCCACUUUGUACCCAGAUUAAUGAGGGUGCUGGGGAAAUGAACUUGGACCUGAAGGCUUGCAAAUUUCAUGAAGGUUGAUUGGACUUGAUCCAUCAUUUUACGGAAAAUUAAUUAUUUCAAAUACAUGUGGCACUUUAUGCAACCUGCCUGAUUUGCAUUGAGGAACAUUCAGCAGAAGUAAUUGAGGCACAAGCAAAUACUGGCACUGACUGAACUCAAUUUUCAUUCCAAAUUUCUGCAAAAUCCCAGGGCACAACAAUAUCAGAUGCAAGGGGGAAAACAAACAAAAGCAAUGUGAAAAGGGAACAUGAAGAGAGAAUAUUACAAGAAUCAGAGAACAAAGGGACUGCAGAACUAUUUCAGUGCCAUAGAUGAGCUGUGAGGGCUUCAUUCAGGCAAGGUGGAAGACGAUAUCAUAUGGCAUCCCGACAAUUGAUGUCUUCAUUUAAAUGUAAGAAUUUACAUUCUAAUUAGAAAGAAUUUACAUCUUAAUCAGAGGCAGCUGUAUUAUCUUGUUACUGUUUUUUUCAAAGGUAAUGAACUAAAGUACUGCUGUGCUUUUUCAACCAGAAACUAAAUAGACAGCAUCCAGGGUUAUUUUAUAGCUUACCUGCUGUAAGCUGUUAUUAAUAUUUUCAAAGAUUAAAUUCUAACAAAAAUCUUUAAAAAAUAUAAAUGUAUUUGACAUUACUGGAAUAGUGUAAGGACUUAUUUAAACAAAUCCUUUCCUAACUUGUAUUUUAAAUGUAGUUACUUAUCAAGCUAAUAGAAGCCCCUUGUGCUUCAUUAAUAUGAUACUGUUUUCAUUUGAGAGGAUGCUGAAGUUCUAAAGCAGUUAACUGUGGCAUGUUGGCAAAUCCUGGUUCUUCUCAAACUUGCUUUUGGUUGUGGAAGAUCACCUACUAAAUAUACACUUUCCCUUAUUAAUACCAUUCAAAUGAAAACACAUUCUUUUUUUCUUUGAAGAUGCUGAUAUCAUAUUUGAGACAAUAUUUUGGUUGCACUUUAGAUGACUUUGUUAGAACCAUAUUAAUAAUAUUUAAAAAUGUGAUAUUUCACAAUUAUAUACAAUUCUGACAGUAUUAGGAUUACAACAGGGAAACUAAGGGAAAUAUCACAUGCUAAUUUAUACUGUUCCAGGUUAUUCAUGAUGAUGGUAACUAGACUUAGGUACUGGUAGGUGGUGAUUUCUUUGCAGACUCAAGCCCAUCACUCAUCUGAGCAUCAGUGUGAGCUCACUGACCCAUGGCUUAGAAGAAAUUGGGCUUGGCCUCAAAGAAAUCAAGCAGGAGAAAAUUACAAGUGUUAAUAAAAAUGUAAAAUGCCACCUCUGUCCCUGGCACUAUGCGUCCUUAGGUUACUGACACUUACUUUCAUCAGCGGCAUCAUUAACAUGAAGUAGUAGUAUGCGCUUGUUGAUAAUUUGUGGGUUUAUCAUGUAAUCCAUUAUGCAAUACAAUUGUUUUAUAAAGUGCAAAGGAAAAUAAUAAAAGUGUAAAGGAAAAUGAUAAAAAAGCUUUAUCAGUUUAUAAGAUAAAUAAUGGACUAAUUUGUUAAGCCAUUCAAAAUAUUGAAAAAUAUAGUCUACUAUAAUUCUCAGGUUCAAAUUUAUCUUUCUCAUCAUAAGAAUAUCCUGAAUCUAUGCAUAUAAAAGAAAAAAAGAGAUAACAUAAAUAUUUGCUUUUUUUUAAAAAAAGGAAUAACAUAAUAGUUCCAGGUAGAUUAAAAAGGGUGGCAUUUUCCUAACCUAGGCUACUCUGAUGACAAAGAGGAGAUAAUUAUUAGUUCAUUGGUGCUUUUUCUUGUAUUCCCACUAAAGACAAUUUAUAGAGGAAAUGAUUCAGAUGGGUCUGACUGAAUUACUGGCUCUGAAAGAUGGCUUUAUACUGCUGUCAGAAACUGUCAGCCUAUUUUUGAAAGGUUUAUUUGUCUACAGCUUUUCUGUGGAUGAUUUGUUAUAAGGGCAUUAACACCACACAGUACACAUAGUGCCUUCAUUUUCAAAAGUGUCCCAGAUAAGUUUUGAUUACCCUAGGUUUUAUAGAACCUGUUUGCCUUUUCAUAAGGAAUCUAGAAACAUAAAAUACAUUUUAAUCUCAUGCUUAAGUAUGUUCCACAUAUAAUGGUCUUUUGCUCAGAGAGUACCAGAUUGUUAGUCUAUUAUCACCAACUUUCUGCUUGACCUUGUGUUUACCGAAGCUGUAAAUGCUCAUGUCCAACAAAUAUUUGGCCAUAAUAAAACAUAAUAUAUAAAUUUCUUGUCUUCCAUACAAUUUUUGACUUGGAUUAUCACA